rnacentral:misc_RNA from 1 species
UCCGUGUUAACCACGGCAGUCUGUCUAGAGUGCCCAACUUAAUGCUGGCAACUAAACACAGGGGUUGCGCUCGUUGAGGGACUUAACCCGACAUGCCACCACACGAGCUGACGACAGCCAUGCAGCACCUGUCUCUUUGUCGUAUUGCUACGAAAGUACUAUCUCUAGUAUUGUCAAAGGAUGUCAAACCUAGGUAAGGUUCUGCGCGUUGCUUCGAAUUAAACCACAUAAUCCACCGCUUGUGCGGGCUCCCGUCAAUUCCUUUGAGUUUUAGUCUUGCGACCGUACUUCCCAGGCGCGGUACUUAUCGCGUUAGCUCCGAGACGGCAGGGGUCAACUCCCACCAUCUCUAGUACCGAUCGUUUACAGCGUGGACUAC